rnacentral:rRNA from 1 species
AGCAGCCGCGGUAAUUCCAGCUCCAAUAGCGUAUAUUAAAGUUGUUGCAGUUAAAAAGCUCGUAGUUGAACCUUAGGCCCGUGCGGGUGGUCCGUCCUCACGGGCGAGUACUGCCUCGUUGCGGGUCUCACCUUCUGGCGAGCGUGGAUGCCAUUUAUUUGGUGUCUGCGGGAACCAGGACCUUUACCUUGAAAAAUUAGAGUGCUCAAAGCGGGCUCUUGCGCUUGAAUACAUUAGCAUGGAAUAAUGAAAUAGGACGAUGGUUCUAUUUUGUUGGUUUCUGGGACCGUCGUAAUGAUUAAUAGGGAUAGUUGAGGGCAUUCGUAUUCAAUUGUCAGAGGUGAAAUUCUUGGAUUUUAUUGAAGACGGACUAACUGCGAAAGCAUUUGCCAAGGAUGUUUUCAUUAAUCAAGA